AAUGGACGAAAGUCUGACGCAGCGACGCCGCGUGAGGGAUGAAGGUUCUCGGAUUGUAAACCUCUGUUGAGUGGGAAGAAAACGUUUGCGGGUAAUAUCCGCAAGCCUUGACGGUACCACUCGAGGAAGCCCCGGCUAACUACGUGCCAGCAGCCGCGGUAAUACGUAGGGGGCAAGCGUUGUUCGGAAUUACUGGGCGUAAAGGGAGCGUAGGCGGGAGAGUAAGUUAGAAGUUAAAUGCUCAGGCUUAACUUGAGACCUGCUUUUAAGACUGCUUUUCUUGAGUAUGGGAGAGGGUGAUGGAAUUCCAGGUGUAGCGGUGGAAUGCGUAGAUAUCUGGAAGAACACCAGCUGCGAAGGCGGUCACCUGGCCCAAUACUGACGCUGAGGCUCGAAAGCUAGGGGAGCAAA
rnacentral:rRNA from 1 species